rnacentral:rRNA from 1 species
CUCGGUCUAAUCUGCCCAGUGAACCUUUCAACGGCCGCAGUAUUCUGACUGUGCUAAGGUAGCAUAAUCAUUUGCUUUUUAAUUGGAAGCUAGUAUGAACGAUUCGACGAGAAGUUAACUCUCUUGAUUUUUCUAACAACUUACUCGGAAGGUAAAAAAGCCCUCCUCCUCCAAUAGGACGACAAGACCCUACAAAACUUUACACGAUAAUCGUAAAACCAUCUUAAACGACAAUCGAGUUUUGCUGGGGCGGCUAGAUCUAACACAAACAAACCUCUUUCCAACACCAUGAGUGACAUCCACGAACCCUUUUCCGUAAUAAAUUUAAGUUACUUUAGGGAUAACAGCGCAAUGUUCCUUUAGAGCCCUUAUCGACAGGAACGCUUACGACCUCGAUGUUGAAUUGAAGUACCUUUUUGGAGCAGCCUCUAACUAAGGGUGUCUGUUCGACU